ensembl:snoRNA
ACAGACUGAAAAUGACCUCAGGUCUAUCAGUGAUCUGGGGUCAGAUACCUGUGCCAACAGUAUUCUGGUGCAUUAAGCUUAUUGCGCUUGUCGCUUGGUGGCAGCGUGAUAAAACCCAUGUGCCGACAUCA